rnacentral:lncRNA from 1 species
UCCAGUAUCCCAAAAAAGAAUCUUUCCUCCCAAAAGGCUCGAACAAAGACAAUUCUCAAUGUCUGGUUCAACGCUCAACUAACAAACUUAGACCUGGUACUAAGACGUGACUACACUAAAUAUCAAAAUCAAGACACGCUGGUUCACUCUACCAAGAUACUUUCCCGACGUCACCAGCACAGAACCAAAAAACCUCACAGCUCAACAACUUAACUAUCUCCUCUAAAAGCAAGAUAAACACUACACAAAACCGAAUCCAAUGUAACGUCGAUCAAAUCACAUCAAAGAAACACUUACGCCAAAUCGAGAGAAACAAGCAAACAACCACAUCUGCGUUGACACAAGGAGCCACCAGAGACGAAGACCUGAUGAAAACCAAGCAAACGUUACAAACAGAGCUUUGAACACCUACUCAACACGGAGAGCCUCACUCGCUGCCACAAAGAGAACUCGCUCAGAACCACUAGGAAGAGCCAUCACAAAAUCACUGACAAGAAUGAACCUAGAUACCACGCCGGAGGUGGCCACAACUCCGACACGCCCAGGAUGGAGAGAAAAACCAGAUCUGAAAGCAACAGGCCGAGAUCUGUUCUCGAAGACCUCACAGCACACGUCACCAAGAGCCAGCCUAACCACACCACCAUGAAGACACGCAGCGGCCACACCAUGAUCCAGAAAGAUCCCACACCGUGCGCCACCAGAGCUUCAACCAUAGAUCCAACCAAGAGAUUUGCUGAGAUGCCACACUUCUCCCUCUAUUCGAGCCUCUGCGCAAGGCCAUAAGAGCCCAGACAUCAAAGUGACAUUGCAUGUAUUGCUAGUCAC